AUGAAGGAACUAGGUCUUCGCGAGGAGGAUCUAGAUGACGUGGUGUUUGAUGAAAAAGAAGCACCGGUAGAGGCGGCGCGGUGGAUUGCUCUCGCUAGGGUUCACUCGCCAAAGACCUAUAGCCAAUAUUGGUUUUUCAAAAACAUGAGGGCAGCUUGGGAUCUUGCUCAGGAGGUGCAGUUCAAGCCUUUGGAAGAUAAUCUAUACACGGUGCAGUUCUCUUGCUUGGGGGAUUGGGGGAGAGUCACACGUGAUGGUCCAUGGCACUUUCGAGGGGACGUUGUUAUUAUCAAACCAUAUGAUGGAUUGGCUAAACCAUCAACGGUUUUGCUGGACACAAUUGAGAUUUGGUUGCAGAUCCAUGAUGUACCACCCUUAUACGCGGGCCAAUAG
rnacentral:rRNA from 1 species